UACGUAGGAUGCAAGCGUUGUCCGGAUUUAUUGGGCGUAAAGAGCGUGUAGGCGGCCGUACAGGUCAGCUGUGAAAACUCGAGGCUCAACCUCGAGACGUCGGUUGAAACCGUACGGCUAGAGUCCGGAAGAGGAGAGUGGAAUUCCCGGUGUAGCGGUGAAAUGCGUAGAGAUUAGGAAGAACACCAGUGGCGAAGGCGACUUACUGGACUGUAACUGACGCUGAGGCAUGAAAGCGUGGGGAGCAAACAGG
rnacentral:rRNA from 1 species